rnacentral:rRNA from 1 species
UACGUAGGGAGCAAGCGUUGUCCGGAAUCAUUGGGCGUAAAGCGCGCGUAGGUGGCUUCGUAAGUCCGUUGUGAAAGUCAAAGGCUCAACCUUUGAAAGCCGAUGGAUACUGCGGAGCUAGAGUACGGAAGAGGCGAGUGGAAUUCCUGGUGUAGCGGUGGAAUGCGCAGAUAUCAGGAGGAACACCAAUAGCGAAGGCAGCUCGCUGGGACGUUACUGACACUGAGGCGCGAACGCGUGGGGAGCGAACAGG